AUUAACCACAUUGGUUUAUGAAACUCAGAUAUGUCCAGUGAGUAUAGAAAAGGUUAGAGAUUUCAAGUUUUAUUGAAAAGUUUUUCAGACAUUAGACCCAAGAUUGGUGAAAAGCUAGAUAUUUAAGAACCAGUAGUUAAUUAUGUAUUAUUAAGUCAUGGGUUUAAGUGAGGCUUAAUAUAUACCACGGUGAAGAUUAUUGAUUUUGAAAGCAGAAGGCCAGGUAGAAAGUCCUGGCUCCAGCCUAGAGCUUCUUCUCAAUGCACUGUUCCAGAUAUCACACCAAAUAAGAUCACCAGUGAGCAAUCCAGAUUGAGGCAUCAGAGAAUGUGCUGCAAA
rnacentral:lncRNA from 1 species